rnacentral:rRNA from 1 species
CCUACGGGCGGCUGCAGUGGGGAAUAUUGGACAAUGGGCGAAAGCCUGAUCCAGCCAUGCCGCGUGUGUGAAGAAGGCCUUCGGGUUGUAAAGCACUUUCAGUGGGGAAGAAAGCCUUGGGGCUAAUACCCUCGAGGAAGGACAUCACCCACAGAAGAAGCACCGGCUAACUCCGUGCCAACAGCCGCGGUAAUACGGAGGGUGCGAGCGUUAAUCGGAAUUACUGGGCGUAAAGCGCGCGUAGGCGGUCUGAUAAGCCGGUUGUGAAAGCCCCGGGCUCAACCUGGGAACGGCAUCCGGAACUGUCAGGCUAGAGUGCAGGAGAGGAAGGUAGAAUUCCCGGUGUAGCGGUGAAAUGCGUAGAGAUCGGGAGGAAUACCAGUGGCGAAGGCGGCCUUCUGGACUGACACUGACGCUGAGGUGCGAAAGCGUGGGUAGCAAACAGGAUUAGAUACCCAGUAGUC